UGGGGAAUCUUCCGCAAUGGGCGAAAGCCUGACGGAGCAAUGCCGCGUGGAGGUAGAAGGCCCACGGGUCGUAAACUCCUUUUCUCGGAGAAGAAGCAGUGACGGUAUCCGAAGAAUAAGCAUCGGCUAACUCUGUGCCAGCAUCCGCGGUAAGACAGGGGAUGCAAGCGUUAUCCGGAAUGAUUGGGCGUAAAGCGUCUGUAGGUGGCUCCUUAAGUCCGCUGUCAAAUCCCAGGGCUCAACCCUGGACAGGCGGUGGAAACUACUAAGCUGGAGUACGGUAGGGGCAGGGGGAAUUUCCGGUGGAGCGGUGAAAUGCGUAGAGAUCGGAAAGAACACCAAAGGCGAAGGCACCCUGCUGGGCCGACACUGACACUGAGAGACGAAAGCUAGGGGAGCGAAUGGG
rnacentral:rRNA from 1 species